UGCAGUGGAAGUCAAGAGAAUUGUGACAACAAUUCACUUGGAAGUUGGAAUGAUUGUGGUGACUUGAAUGAUAAUGCAGAUACAAACUCAUUGGGGAGUUGGAAAGACGGGGCUGAUGGGGGGGAGCCAUUUGAGGAGCCUUCCGUGGACAGGCAUUCAUCUGACAGUUGUAUAGAUGGUGCAGAUUCCGAUUCUCGGCCUUUUGGAGAGGCAACUACAAGUGAAGCGUGGGGGGGAGCCAUUUGAGGAGCGUUCCGUGGAUAGGCAUUCAUCUGACAGUUGUAUAGAUGGUGCAGAUUCCGAUUCUCGACCUGUUGGAGAGGCAACUACAAGUGAAGUAUUCAGCUCAUCCUUACCUGUGACUACCCCAAAAAUGAAGAUGUCGUGGGCAGAUAUGGCUCAGGAGGAUGAGCUUCAAGUAGAGGAAGUGAGUGAGUCAAUUGCCUU
rnacentral:lncRNA from 1 species